rnacentral:rRNA from 1 species
CCCUUAGAUGUUCUGGGCCGCACGCGCGCUACACUGAUGCAUUCAACGAGUCUAAAACCUGGUCUGAUAGGGCUGGGUAAUCUUUUGAAAGUGCAUCGUGAUUGGGAUAGAUGAUUGCAAUUCUUCAUCUUCAACGAGGAAUGCCUAGUAAACGCAAGUCACCAGCUUGCAUUGAUUACGUCCCUGCCCUUUGUACACACCGCCCGUCGCUCCUACCGAUUGAAUGAUCCGAUGAAUACCAUGGAUUGAGAGUACGAAUGGGUUCGCUCAUUUCUGCUGCUCGAGAAGUGGAGUAAAUCUUAUCAUUUAGAGGAAGGAGAAGUCGUAACA